GACGAACGCUGGCGGCGUGCUUAACACAUGCAAGUCGAACGGAAAGGCCCUGCUUGCAGGGUACUCGAGUGGCGAGCGGGUGAGUAACACGUGGGUGAUCUGCCCUGCACUUCGGGAUAAGCUUGGGAAACUGGGUCUAAUACCGGAUAGGAACCAUCUUUAGUGUGGUGGUUGGAAAGUUUUUUCGGUGUAGGAUGAGCUCGCGGCCUAUCAGCUUGUUGGUGGGGUAAUGGCCUACCAAGGCGGCGACGGGUAGCCGGCCUGAGAGGGUGUACGGCCACAUUGGGACUGAGAUACGGCCCAGACUCCUACGGGAGGCAGCAGUGGGGAAUAUUGCACAAUGGGCGCAAGCCUGAUGCAGCGACGCCGCGUGGGGGAUGAAGGCCUUCGGGUUGUAAACUCCUUUCGCUAGGGACGAAGCUUUGUUGUGACGGUACCUAGAUAAGAAGCACCGGCGAACUACGU
rnacentral:rRNA from 1 species